rnacentral:rRNA from 1 species
CCUACGGGAGGCAGCAGUGGGGAAUAUUGCACAAUGGGGGAAACCCUGAUGCAGCGACGCCGCGUGAGUGAAGAAGUAUUUCGGUAUGUAAAGCUCUAUCAGCAGGGAAGUAAAGUGACGGUACCUGAGUAAGAAGCCCCGGCUAACUACGUGCCAGCAGCCGCGGUAAU